rnacentral:lncRNA from 1 species
GGAGGUCUGUUGAGUUUAAUUAAUAUUUUUUACAUAUAAAAUAUAUGUAAAGUGAUACAUUUCUGUAAUUAUCUCAUGCAAAUAAUAAGUUUUUAAAACAGAUCAUUCAUUAAAAGCUAUCUUUGUACUUUACAGUUUCUGAAUAUAUCCUUUUCUCUCUUUUAUAGGUUCCUCUCAUGACCCUUGUAGUUAACAUUAAUGGAAAAGGCAUAGAAAUAAAAUUAAUAUAUGAAUGGUCAAGGGCAAGGACAAGAGGAAAAAAUGAGAACCAAGACCACCUGUCAUGUAAAGGUACAAGAUCCCAAUAAUGAAUGUAACUGUACUGUAUACCUAAAAUGUAC